UUGGAGGGCAAGUCUGGUGCCAGCAGCCGCGGUAAUUCCAGCUCCAAUAGCGUAUAUUAAAGUUGUUGCAGUUAAAAAGCUCGUAGUUGAAUUUCGGGAUCAAUAUGUCGGUCGUGCUUUUGGUACGUACUGGCAUCAUUGGUUUCUCCCUUCUGACAAACCAUGAUGUCAUUAAUUUGGUGUUAUGGGGAGUUAGGACUGUUACUUUGAAAAAAUUAGAGUGUUUAAAGCAGGCAUUAGCUUGAAUACAUUAGCAUGGAAUAAUGAAAUAGGACGUUUGACCCUAUUUUGUUGGUUUCUAGGAUCGACGUAAUGAUUAAUAGGGAUAGUUGGGGGCAUUAGUAUUCAAUUGUCAGAGGUGAAAUUCUUGGAUUUAUUGAAGACUAACUACUGCGAAAGCAUUUGCCAAGGAUGUUUUCAUUAAUCAAGAGCGAAAGUUAGGGGAUCGAAGACGAUCAGAUAGCGUCGUAGUCUUAACCAUAAACUAUGCCGACUAGGGAUCGGAUGAUGUUAAUUUUUUAAUGACUCAUUCGGCGCCUUACGGGAAAC
rnacentral:rRNA from 1 species